AUGACACUAGAGUUAGUGUGAUGUAAAGAACUAAAGUGAUGUAAAGAAUGAUGAAAAUGACAAUGUUGAAAGUUAAAGUAAUGUGGGGAAUAAAGAAUAUAAUUGCUAGAGUUAGCAAAAGUAAAAGAAAUGUAAAGAAUGUGAUUGCAUGAGUUUGCAACCUAAAGUGAUGUAAAGAACACUAGAGCUAGUGUAAAGUCAAGAUUGAACUUAUAAAUCCUUUGAGUUAAGGAUUCGAUCAUACUUGCUAUGAGUUCCGUGCUCGAAGGUGGUCGCUCCCCCUCGGGCGAUGCGCUCCGGAGUUAUGCAUCCGGGUUGGAGUAGACCCGUAAGGACGGUCCUAGCUGGUGAGUUCCUGCGAUGAUGGACUUAAUGUGAAGCAAGUUAAUGUGGCGAAACCCCCGGGUUAGCCUUGAGAUUAAAAGAAUAAAGAGCAAAGAACAAAGUGUAAAGAACAAAGAACAAAGAGUAAAGUAAAAAGAGUAAAGAAAUUGCAUAAUCUGCAUUUAUUCAAUGUUGAGCAUAUCCCUUGCUUUUGUUCAGGCAUAUUAGCAUCAUGUUAUAGAUUGGUUACUAAAUCUUGCUUAUCCUUUCUAUUAUGCCUGAGUUAGUCCUAGUGGGAAAGUCGGUGAUGUUGGGGCCGAACCCAUUGGGAACUUUGUUGUAGUUCUCACCCCACUAUUUCCACAGAGCCGGGAUCGAGUGAGCCGGCGAGCGACCGCGGUAAAGGUAUCGCACCGUAGACAGAGGCCACCGGAGUUGGGUUACAUUUUGUUAGUAGUUACCCCUUUUAUCAUCUUUUGUAUUUGAUGAUUUAAGAUGUUGAUGUAUAAAGCAAAGUAAAGAAAAGAAUGUAUGUUCAUUUUGAGGUAAAUGUGAUGUAAAAGAAAUGAUGAAAGAACGUAAAGAUUUUGGAUGUUCAAGUUGGAUUGAUACAAUGUAUAUGAUCUAAAAUGAAUCAUAUUACUUGUGAAUGUUUAGUUUCCUUUUUCUUUCACUAAUGGCUAUUGCUUACCCUCGUGUAAGCCGUUUGUG
rnacentral:lncRNA from 1 species